GCGAGCGUUAAUGCGGAAUUACUUGGGCGUACCUUGUGCGCAGGUGGUUUGUUAAGUCAGAUGUGAAAGCCCCGAGCUUAACUUGGGAACUGCGUUUGAAACUGGCAAGCUAGAGUCUGUCAGAGGGGGGUAGAAUUCCACGUGUAGCAGUGAAAUGCGUAGAGAUGUGGAGGAAUACCAAUGGCGAAGGCAGCCCCCUGGGAUAAGACUGACGCUCAUGCACGAAAGCGUGGGGAGCAAACAGGAUUAGAUACCCUGGUAGUCCACGCCCUAAACGAUGUCAACUGGUUGUUGGGCAACUUGAUUGUUCAGUAACGAAGCUAACGCGAGAAGUUGACCGCCUGGGGAGUACGGUCGCAAGAUUAAAACUCAAAGGAAUUGACGGGGACCCGCACAAGCGGUGGAUGAUGUGGAUUAAUUCGAUGCAACGCGAAAAACCUUACCUACCCUUGACAUGUACGGAAGUCUGCUGAGAGGUGGAUGUGCCUGAAAGGGAACCGUAACACAGGUGCUGCAUGGCUGUCGUCAACUCGUGUCGUGAGAUGUUAGGAUUAAGUCCCGCAACGAACGCAACCCUUGCUAUUAAUUACCAUCAUUAAGUUGGGCACUUUAAUAGGACUGCUGGUGAUAAACCGGAGGAAGGUGGGGAUGACGUCAAGUCCUCAUGGCCCUUAUGGGUAGGGCUUCACACGUCAUACAAUGGCCGGUACAGAGGGAUGCCAACCCGCGAGGGGGAGCCAAUCUCAGAAAGCCGGUCGUAGUCCGGAAUUGU
rnacentral:rRNA from 1 species